CCUAGGAAAGGAACUGUCCCCGUGUAUCCCGGCGAGAAAUUCCAUAAGGAUGAAGAUAUUUUUCCGUUGUGUUCUCUGCUGAAUCCCUGAAGCCUAGCAUGUGUAAGAAGACACAGAAUGCAUAUUCACUGUGUGAGUACAUUUUAUCUUGUGGCAUCGAUGAUCCAGGGCCAGAGGAGCAUCCAGAAAAGGACAGCAGAGCCUCAGGUGCUCACCGGUGUCAAGGAAGGUAUUCAUGCAUCUAGGAGUUCUUAUGUACUGGAAACUCAGUAUCUCCUGUUUGCAGGCAGUGACUGGGUGUUCAUUAAAUCCAGAUAUCUCUGGAUGGAGGCUGUGGAUAAGCUUGGUGUCCAGUGGAAUCUCUCUCAUGCACAGACGACGAAAAUCCAAAAGCUCACAUUGGUUCCAGUACAACAGACAGCCUGUUCCACUGGAGUUGUGUCAGCCGAGAUGUGCACAUUUGUAUCAUCUGUCACAACUAUUUACCCCUCUCUUUUCUCAGUAACAGCAGAUACACUCGCCCAUCGCCAUGAGACUUGAGGGAGCUGAUCCACUACCAGGCUUGGCCUGCGGCUUGCUUUGCCCACAACAGCGUGAGGAGUGUGAUGUGCAGCAUAUCUGAGCAGAAGCUUUAAAAGCAAUUGUGUGCUUUGGUUCUUCCCCUUGUACUUCUCAUCUUCCAUGAAAAGGGCCUGUUCUCCCAGAUCUCUGCUCCUUAGCCUGAGUCUGGGAAUGAGAAGACACACAGUGUCACAUUAGUGAGACAUUUUAAACAAGAAAGAAGUGCUCAUUGUUACAAACUGCUGAGAUUGGGGGGGCAGGGGUGUUGUCACUAUGAGACAUCUACUACAAUGUGAUAUGGGCUCUAGGACAAGGGACAUGCACUUCAUCCCUUGUCACAAUGAUUUUAAAAAUCCAUUACUAUGCACAGGACUUGGAGUGAUACAGGCAUCAGGCAGACAGGAUAGCAAGUGCACUGGGAUGCUUCCAAAGUUUUCAGGGAUUUCAACAGUCCUAUCAAUUGAAGGAAGAGUGAUCCUCCACCCCAUGCAAGGGCAUUAUUAGUGUGAAACUCCCAAGUGCUGUAUCCUAAACAUACCCCCUUAAUAAUGGAAAGAAAUCCUCCCUCCUCUGCGUUAAUUACAUAAACUAUAUAUUAUUCAUCAGAUUUCUAUAUAAUAUUGCUUCUACUUGUAUGUGUAAUCAUAAAAUAAUUCAUAAAGUUUCAGGUCAAGGAAGGAAAAGUAAAUAUUCCAUUUUUAGUCCUGACAUGGACACCCCUAAUAAAAUGUAGUCACUAAAUAAGAAUCUUGUUGAUUGUAUUUGCUACUUAUUUUUAAGUGUCAG
ensembl:lincRNA